rnacentral:rRNA from 1 species
AGAGUUUGAUCCUGGCUCAGAUUGAACGCUGGCGGAAUGCUUUACACAUGCAAGUCGAACGGCAGCAUAGAGAGCUUGCUCUCUGAUGGCGAGUGGCGAACGGGUGAGUAAUAUAUCGGAACGUGCCUAGUAAUGGGGAACAACUAAUCGAAAGAUUAGCUAAUACCGCAUACGACCUAUGGGUGAAAGCAGGGGAUCUUCGGACCUUGCGUUAUUAGAGCGGCCGAUAUCUGAUUAGCUUGUUGGUGGGGUAAUGGCCUACCAAGGCAACGAUCAGUAGCUGGUCUGAGAGGACGAUCAGCCACACUGGAACUGAGACACGGUCCAGACUCCUACGGGAGGCAGCAGUGGGGAAUUUUGGACAAUGGGGGAAACCCUGAUCCAGCCAUUCCGCGUGAGUGAAGAAGGCCUUCGGGUUGUAAAGCUCUUUCGCAAGAGAAGAAAUCUUAUUAUCUAAUAAAUAAUAAGGAUGACGGUAUCUUGACAAGAAGCACCGGCUAACUACGUGCCAGCAGCCGCGGUAAUACGUAGGGUGCAAGCGUUAAUCGGAAUUACUGGGCGUAAAGCGUACGCAGGCGGUCUUAUAAGUCAGAUGUGAAAUCCCCGAGCUCAACUUGGGAACUGCGUUUGAAACUGUAAGACUAGAGUGUGUCAGAGGGGGGUAGAAUUCCAUGUGUAGCAGUGAAAUG